CAGCCUAAUACAUGCAAGUCGAGCGGAGUUAUUCCUUCGGGGAUGACUUAGCUGGCGGACGGGUGAGUAACACGUAGGCGAACCUGCCUGUAAGCACUGGGAUAACUACCGGAAACGGUAGCUAAGACCGGAUACACAACUUGAUCGCAUGGUUGAGUUGGGAAAAGCGGAGCAAUCUGCUACUUACAGAUGGGCCUGCGGCGCAUUAGCUAGUUGGUGGGGUAACGGCUCACCAAGGCGACGAUGCGUAGCCGACCUGAGAGGGUGAACGGCCACACUGGGACUGAGACACGGCCCAGACUCCUACGGGAGGCAGCAGUAGGGAAUCUUCCGCAAUGGACGCAAGUCUGACGGAGCAACGCCGCGUGAGUGAUGAAGGUUUUCGGAUCGUAAAGCUCUGUUGCCAGGGGAAGAACGCUUGGGAGAGUAACUGCUCUCAAGGUGACGGUACCUGAAGAAGAAAGCCCCGGGUUAACUACGU
rnacentral:rRNA from 1 species